GUAGGGAGCGAGCGUNAUCCGGAUNNAUNGGGCGUAAAGCGAGCGUAGGCGGUNNAUUAAGUNNAAGAUGAAAGGCUGGGGCUCAACUCCAGUNUUGUCUUAAAAACUGGUAAGCUUGAGUAUGGUAGAGGUAAAUGGAAUNUCUAGUGUAGCGGUGGAAUGCGUAGAUAUUAGAAGGAACACCAGUGGCGAAAGCGAUUUACUAGGCCAAAACUGACGCUGAGGCACGAAAGCGUGGGGAGCAAAUAGGAUUAGAUACCCUAGUAGUCCACGCCGUAAACGAUGAGUACUAAGUGUUGGGGAAACUCAGUGCUGAAGCUAACGUAUUAAGUACUCCGCCUGAGUAGU
rnacentral:rRNA from 1 species